GAUAAACCGGAGGAAGGUGGGGACGACGUCAGAUCAUCAUGCCCCUUAUGACCUGGGCAACACACGUGCUACAAUGGGAAGUACAACGAGUCGCAAACCGGCGACGGUAAGCUAAUCUCUUAAAACUUCUCUCAGUUCGGACUGGAGUCUGCAACUCGACUCCACGAAGGCGGAAUCGCUAGUAAUCGCGAAUCAGCAUGUCGCGGUGAAUACGUUCCCGGGUCUUGUACACACCGCCCGUCAAAUCAUGGGAGUCGGAAGUACCCAAAGUCGCUUGGCUAACUUUUAGAGGCCGGUGCCUAAGGUAAAAUCGAUGACUGGGAUUAAGUCGUAACAAGGUAGCCGUAGGAGAACCUGCGGCUGGAUCACCUCCUUUCUAAGGA
rnacentral:rRNA from 1 species